UUUUAGGAUAAUUUUUAGAAAAUUUUAGGAUCAUUUUUGGAAAAUUUUAGGGCCAUUUUUGGAAAAAAGGGAAUUUUAGGAUCAUUUUUGGAAUUUUAGGACCAUUUUUGGAAAAUUUUAGGGUCAUUUUUGGAAAAUUUCAGGAUCAUUUUUGGAAAAAAGGGAAUUUUUUUAGGACGGUUUUUGGAAAAAAAGGGAAUUUUAGGACCAUUUUUGGAAUUUUAAGAUCAUUUGGGGAAAAAAGGGAAUUUUAGGACCA
rnacentral:lncRNA from 1 species